rnacentral:sRNA from 1 species
AAGUAAAAACUAAUCAUAACUCAUGAAGUAAAAAAAUAGUUGGUCUAGCCAAUUGCAAAGUAGUCACAUAUAACCACUUCGGUUAAGACAUUGGCAAAGAUCAAAAAGUCACAAACAUACUUUUUUCUCUGGUUGACUAAAUCGUCGAACCACCACAUGUAAUUAAUUUGACUUAAACUAACAAUUAAAAAGUAAAAAUAAAAAGAAUAGUGGUAUUUUACUGAUGGGAGGACAUUUUUCCAACGAUUAUUUUGUUUCACGAGAAAAUGACUAUGUACGAAAUCUUCAUAUAUGUGAGAAAUCGGUUUUAGUCAACUCACGACUUGGGCCAGAUUUGGAAGUUUAAUUCUUUAGAACAUUUUCAACGGGAGUUCUCUUGAAUAAUUAGAUGGAUUCUCUUGAAUUAGUAGAAUAAAAAUAAAUAUAAACGGAUUAAAAAACAGAGAACUAGCUCUCUCAAAAGAGUUUCGACUUUUGAGUAAGUGAUAGAACCGGACAUGUGUCAAAUAGAUAAAAUAAUACAUGACGUAAAAAACAAAAACAAAAAAUGUAUUAGGAAAAUAGUUACCUUACUUUUAAUUUACUUAUCUAUAUGUCGUGAUUUCUGGUUGGUUGCCUUCAGAGACGAGGACAUGAGAAAUGAGACCUCUGUAAAUACUGCUACUAGUUUGUAUAAAACCAAAACACUAAAGAUUGUAGCAUCAAGUUGUAUUGUAAGCGUCACUCUGAAUUUGUUAUUGUAAAGAAAACAUUCUACGCAGACAAUAUCAGAUCAAAUAACAUCAUUGUCUAAGCAAAUCACUUAUUUUUAUUUUUUUUAAUUGGAAAUUAAGAAUCAUCUCUUUUAAUUUUAGUGUCUCAAAUUUUAAACUACAUUUUCUACCGGUUGUCAUUAUUUCUUAUGUUUUGCAUAUAUUUUUCUUAUGUUUUGCUCAUUUAUGUAUAUUUUGCUAGUUGAAUUUUUUGUUCAAAAUUUCCAGUAUUUAUAACAUAUUCAAUUUUAAAUUUAGCAUU